rnacentral:rRNA from 1 species
AUACAGAGGGUGCAAACGUUGUUCGGAAUCACUGGGCAUAAAGCGCGCGUAGGCGGCAUGUUAAGUGUGAAGUGAAAUCCCACGGCUUACCCGUGGAACUGCUUUGCAUACUGGCAGGCUCGAGGACGGUAGGGUAGAGCGGAACUCUUGGUGGAGCGGUGAAAUGCGUAGAUAUCAAGGGGAACACCGAUGGCGAAGGCAGCUCUCUGGUCCGUUUCUGACGCUGAGGUGCGAAAGCUAGGGUAGCGAACGGGAUUAGAAACCCGAGUAGUCC